rnacentral:rRNA from 1 species
CUUAAGUGGGGAAUAACGCAUCGAAAGGUGUGCUAAUACCGCAUAAUCUCUGAGGAGAAAAGCAGGGGAUCGCAAGACCUUGCGCUUUUGGAGCGGCCGAUGUCUGAUUAGCUUGUUGGUGAGGUAAAAGCUUACCAAGGCUUCGAUCAGUAGCUGGUCUGAGAGGACGACCAGCCACACUGGGACUGAGACACGGCCCAGACUCCUACGGGAGGCAGCAGUGGGGAAUUUUGGACAAUGGGGGCAACCCUGAUCCAGCCAUGCCGCGUGAGUGAAGAAGGCCUUCGGGUUGUAAAGCUCUUUCAGCCGGAACGAAACGGUUACGGUUAAUACCCGUGACUACUGACGGUACCGGAAGAAGAAGCACCGGCUAACUACGUGCCAGCAGCCGCGGUAAUACGUAGGGUGCGAGCGUUAAUCGGAAUUACUGGGCGUAAAGCGUGCGCAGGUGGUUUUGUAAGUCAGAUGUGAAAUCCCCGGGCUCAACCUGGGAACUGCGUUUGAAACUACAAGGCUAGAGUGUGGCAGAGGGGGGUGGAAUUCCGCGUGUAGCAGUGAAAUGCGUAGAGAUGUGGAGGAACACCGAUGGCGAAGGCAGCCCCCUGGGUCAACACUGACGCUCAGGCACGAAAGCAUGGGGAGCAAACAGGAUUAGAUACCCUGGUAGUCCAUGCCCUAAACGAUGUCAACUAGUUGUCGGGCCUUAACGGGCUUGGUAACGUAGCUAACGCGUGAAGUUGACCGCCUGGGGAGUACGAUCGCAAGAUUAAAACUCAAAGGAAUUGACGGGGACCCGCACAAGCGGUGGAUUAUGUGGAUUAAUUCGAUGCAACGCGAAAAACCUUACCUACCCUUGACAUGUAUCGAAGCCCGCAGAAAAGUGGGUGUGCCCGAAAGGGAACGAUAACACAGGUGCUGCAUGGCUGUCGUCAGCUCGUGUCGUGAGAUGUUGGGUUAAGUCCCGCAACGAGCGCAACCCUUGUCAUUAAUUGCCAUCAUUUAGUUGGGCACUUUAAUGAGACUGCCGGUGACAAACCGGAGGAAGGUGGGGAUGACGUCAAGUCCUCAUGGCCCUUAUGGGUAGGGCUUCACACGUAA